rnacentral:rRNA from 1 species
GCGUGCCUAAUACAUGCAAGUCGAACGAACGGAGGAAGAGCUUGCUCUUCCAAAGUUAGUGGCGGACGGGUGAGUAACACGUGGGCAACCUGCCUGUAAGUUGGGGAUAACUCCGGGAAACCGGGGCUAAUACCGAAUGAUAGAAUGUGGCGCAUGCCACGCUUUUGAAAGAUGGUUUCGGCUAUCGCUUACAGAUGGGCCCGCGGUGCAUUAGCUAGUUGGUAGGGUAAUGGCCUACCAAGGCAACGAUGCAUAGCCGACCUGAGAGGGUGAUCGGCCACACUGGG